UCCUCCUUACUUUUUUUAAAGAAUGACUUAUUUUUAGGUUAAUCGUGACCCCCUCCACCUCCGUUCAACAACCCCGCGCGCAGCGCCUCCUCUGUGACGGCACCCCCCACCUCCGUUUGACAACCCGGACAGCACCCCAAGAUAGUAUCCCAACCGUCGUUCGACCCCAGGAUAGCAACCUCGCUAUUGUUCAACAUCCACAACAGCUCGUGUGACUGGAGUCAACCUCUCUUCUCCGGCGACUGGUUUCCUCCUUCUCAGGCGAUAGCACCUCAGGUGCACGACAAAUUCCCCAAAUGAUGUCUAAUCUAGAGUUAUUGAAGAUGGCCUCUGAAGGCAUGAAGAACUUGAGGCCUGAAGACCUGAAGAAUGCAGCAGAACAGUUGAAGCAUACCCAUCCAGAGGAGAUGGCUGAGAUUGGAGAGAAGAUGGCUAACUCAACGCCUAAAGAGAUAGUAGCUAUGCGUACACGUCUUGAUGCCCAGAUCACUUAUAAAUUGAAUGGAGCUCAGAUGCUGAAGAAACAGGGAAAUGAGCUUCAUAGCCAGGGAAAGUACAAUGAUGCCUUGCAGAAGUACUGUCUUGCAAAAAAGAACCUAAAAGGCAUUCCAUCAUCAAAAUUUCAAUCACUAUAGUUGGCAUGCUCACUAAACUUGAUGUCAUGUUACUUGAAAACAAAGCAGUUUGAUGAAUGCAUAAAAGAAGGUUCUGAGGUAUUGGGAUAUGAUGUGAAGAAUGUGAAAGCCCUUUACCAUAAUUAAUUGUUACAUCAUAUAAGAGGGAUCAUAGAAUAUAUAUAUUGAUUGUUAUAUGUUCAUUUGAUUUUGAUCAGCAGUAGCAGUUUUAUAAGCUUAGGACACACAAGUAAUCCCUGGAUUAAGGUACUGUAUCAGCUUGCAUAUAUUAUGAUUCUUGAACCAUUUUUUCCCUACAUUAAGUCAAUGUUGUAGAUUGAUGGUCAUGGGGAUUAAUUGUCAUUGGAAGCCUACUUUUUUAUGUUAAAUUUCUAAAAAAUUUACUAUGAAAUGUAUUGUUAUGAACUUAUGGCAUAUACUAUGGUGGAAGUUCAAUACAUUUCGAAGAGCUGUAACUAGUAGCCCAUAAUCUGGCCAAAUGGGCAGGAAGAACAGGUGCCAUGGAGAGCUGAACAAUGAACAUAUCCCUACAUGUAUAUUCCAAGACCACAAGGAGUUUGAGCAAGGCACAUCUUUCACAGGUUUGCAACUGGAGUGGACACAUAAAGCUUAUUCAGAUGGCACUUGAUCCCUUAAGUUGAAAUUUGAGGGGAAUAUCUGAGUAAAAGUUUAUAUGUGUACAUGUAGCCAAUCUUUGCAAUUGCGUAUUCCAAUUUAUUUAAAAUUGUUUCAGGUUUGUACAAUUCCAAUAGGAACAUUGGAUGCUACAAAGCCUUUAUGUUUGUAUGUUGUAUUAUUGGAUGGAUCUUGGUCUUAUUUCUAAUACAUGAUUUUAUUAUUGA